CACACGACUCUCGGCAACGGAUAUCUCGGCUCUCGCAUCGAUGAAGAACGUAGCGAAAUGCGAUACCUGGUGUGAAUUGCAGAAUCCCGCGAACCAUCGAGUCUUUGAACGCAAGUUGCGCCCGAGGCCUUUUGGCCGAGGGCACGCCUGCCUGGGCGUCACG
rnacentral:rRNA from 1 species